rnacentral:tRNA from 1 species
GAGGAUACAGCUCAGUGGUAGAGCACAUGCUUUGUAUACAUGAGGUCCUGGGUUCAGUCCCCGGUACCUCCA